CCUACGGGUGGCAGCAGUGAGGAAUAUUGGUCAAUGGGCGCGAGCCUGAACCAGCCAAGUCGCGUGAGGGAAGACGGUUCUAUGGAUUGUAAACCUCUUUUGUCGGGGAGCAAAAGACGCCACGCGUGGCGUUCCGAGAGUACCCGAAGAAAAAGCAUCGGCUAACUCCGUGCCAGCAGCCGCAGUAAUACUGAGGAUGCGAGCGUUAUCGGGUUUUAUUGGGUUAAAGGGGUGGGCAGGCGGAAGAUCAAGUCAGCGGUAAAAUUGAGAGGCUCAACCUCUUCGAGCCGUUGAAACUGGUUGUCUUGAGUGAGCGAGAGGUAUGCGGAAGGCGUGGUGUAGCGGUGAAAUGCAUAGAUAUCACGCAGAACUCCGAUUGCGAAGGCAGCAUACCGGCGCUCAACUGACGCUCAUGCACGAAAGUGUGGGUAUCGAACAGGAUUAGAUACCCGAGUAGUC
rnacentral:rRNA from 1 species